rnacentral:rRNA from 1 species
GACGAACGCUGGCGGCGUGCCUAAUACAUGCAAGUAGAACGCUGAAGAGAGGAGCUUGCUCUUCUUGGAUGAGUUGCGAACGGGUGAGUAACGCGUAGGUAACCUGCCUGGUAGCGGGGGAUAACUAUUGGAAACGAUAGCUAAUACCGCAUAAAAUUGAUUAUUGCAUGAUAAUUAAUUGAAAGAUGCAACUGCAUCACUACCAGAUGGACCUGCGCUGUAUUAGCUAGUUGGUGAGGUAACGGCUCACCAAGGCGACGAUACAUAGCCGACCUGAGAGGGUGAUGGGCCGUACUGGGCCGGAGACACGGCCCAUACUCCUACGGGAGGCAGCAGUAGGGGAUCUUCGGCAAUGGGGGGAACCCUGACCGAGCAACGCCGCGUGAGUGAAGAAGGUUUUCGGAUCGUAAAGCUCUGUUGUAAGAGGAGAACGGGUGUGAGAGUGGAAAGUUCACAUUGUGACGGUAUCUUACCAGAAAGGGACGGCUAACUACGUG